AGUCGAACGAGAGAAGAGAAGCUUGCUUUUCUGAUCUAGUGGCGGACGGGUGAGUAACACGUGAGCAAUUUGCCUUUCAGAGGGGGAUACCGAUUGGAAACGAUCGUUAAUACCGCAUAAUAUAAUUGAACCGCAUGAUUUGAUUAUCAAAGAUUUAUCGCUGAAAGAUGAGCUCGCGUCUGAUUAGCUAGUUGGUAAGGUAACGGCUUACCAAGGCGACGAUCAGUAGCCGGACUGAGAGGUUGAUCGGCCACAUUGGGACUGAGACACGGCCCAGACUCCUACGGGAGGCAGCAGUGGGGAAUAUUGCACAAUGGAGGAAACUCUGAUGCAGCGAUGCCGCGUGAGGGAAGAAGGUUUUAGGAUUGUAAACCUCUGUCUUCAGGGACGAAAAAAGACGGUACCUGAGGAGGAAGCUCCGGCUAACUACGUGCCAGCAGCCGCGGUAAUACGUAGGGAGCGAGCGUUGUCCGGAAUUACUGGGUGUAAAGGGAGCGUAGGCGGGAUCGCAAGUCAGAUGUGAAAACUAUGGGCUUAACCCAUAAACUGCAUUUGAA
rnacentral:rRNA from 1 species